rnacentral:rRNA from 1 species
GGUUGCGAUCAUACCAGCACUAAUGCACCGGAUCCCAUCAGGACUCCGCAGUUAAGCGUGCUUGGGCGAGAGUAGUACUAGGAUGGGUGACCCCCUGGGAAGUCCUCGUGUUGCAACCC